rnacentral:tRNA from 1 species
UCCUGGCAGUCUGGUGGUUAGGACUCAGCACUUGCACUGCAGGGGACCCAGGUUCAAUUCCUGGUCCAGGAA